rnacentral:antisense_RNA from 1 species
GCCGCCCAGUGGCUUUGUUUCAAGUGGAAGUCCGCGUGCUUUGAUACCCUCAGGGGGCACUUACAGGCUAGAUGGACACAGACACUAUUCCCACUUGUUUGGUUAUCUAUAUUCUGAGCCCACAAAUCAGAGGCAUCAAGUUAAAAAAGCUGAACGCUUGUAGAAUGGCACUAUCCAAUAUGGUAGCCAGUAGCCCCAUGUGCCUAUUGAGCACUUAAAAUGUGGCCAGUCCUAACUGCAAUGUGCUGAAAAGACAGAAGCUGAUUGAGGUCCCAGCUUGGUAACAGUUUGAAGAGUUGCAGGACUGGCUGGAUGAGUACUGGCUGCAGCAAGUCAUGCUGCCAGGAUUCUUUAUGGCUGUUUCUGCUUCCACUACAGCUGAGUCAGAAAGGUCGCUGCCCAGUGGUGGCAGUAGAUGCAGUGGACCUGGCAAGCAAAUGUUUCCGCUAUUAGCUCUCAGCAACAGAGACUCAUUUAUGGUCACCUUGGAAAUCUGGGCUUAUCGAUCUACAGCCCAAGUCUGCUGAGAAGCUGGAGCUUACUAAAGGGGAAACCUGAGAGCUGUUCAAGCCCCAAACAUUUUCCACUUCUGCGUCACCUCUGCUGUCUGUUAGCAGAGUGGAGGAGAAAAUACACCAGCACAAACAACGUGAAAAAAUACUCUAUUCAUUAAAAGCUGUAACUUCCAGACUGGACUUGAGAAGCAAUUAAGCAACAGAGGCACCUCAUCUACUAUCUGUAUUCAGGCAUGCUCAUGAGAACAUGCUGCUCCAGCUGGACUUAGAGGAGCCCGGUGCAUCAGAGGCAUUCCUGACAGAGUCUCGUGGUCCUGCUGGUCCACUCACUGGUACCCAGUCCUCCUCAUCGUCGGGGAUAGGUUCCAAGACCCCCAGGGGAUGCCUGAAAC